rnacentral:rRNA from 1 species
AUUGAACGCUGGCGGCAUGCCUUACACAUGCAAGUCGAACGGCAGCACGGGUGCUUGCACCUGGUGGCGAGUGGCGAACGGGUGAGUAAUACAUCGGAACGUACCUUAUCGUGGGGGAUAACGCAGCGAAAGUUGCGCUAAUACCGCAUACGACCUGAGGGGGAACGCGGGGGAACGUAAGGCCUCGCGCGUUUAGAGAGGCCGGUGUCUGAUUAGCUUGUUGGUGAGGUAAAAGAUCACCAGGGCGAUGAGCAGUAGCUGGUCUGAGAGGACGGUCAGCCACACUGGGACUGGGACACGGAGCAGACGCCUACGGGAGGCAGCAGUGGGGAAUUGUGGACAAUGGGGGCAACCCUGGUCCAGCAAUGCCGCGUGAGUGAAGAAGGCCUUCGGGUUGUAAAGCUCUUUUGUCAGGGAAGAAACAGCAGCUCUAACACAGUCUGCGAAUGACGGUACCUGAAGAAUAAGCACCGGCUAACUACGUGCCAGCCGCCGCAGUAA